rnacentral:rRNA from 1 species
CGCCUGUUUAUCAAAAACAUUUUUAUCUAGUUAGAGAUAAUAUGGCCUGCCCAGUGACUUAAACGGCGGCGGUAUUUUGACCGUGCUAAGGUAGCAUAGUCAUUUGUUUCUUAAUUGGGAGCUGGAAUGAACGGUUGAACUAUGUUAAUAGGUGUGUUAGUUUAAAUAGAAGGUUAAAGUUAAAGUAAGAAUUCUUUAAUAUCUUAGGGGACGAUAAGACCCUAUAAGCUUGAUAGCUGUAUAUAUGAUUUUGUGGUUUGAGUUAAGUUAUUUUACUGGGGCGGUACUGGUCUUUUAACUAUCAGUUAAAUUAAGAUCCUUAAAAUAUAGAUGAGACGGAUAAGUUACUUUAGGGGUAACAGUGCAAUAUUUUUGGAGAGCUCUUAUCGAUAGAUAUGUUUGCAACC